rnacentral:rRNA from 2 species
UCUGGUGUCAGCCGCCGCGGUAAAACCAGCACCUCAAGUGGUCAGGAUGAUUAUUGGGCCUAAAGCAUCCGUAGCCUGCUUUGUUAGUUUUCGGUUAAAUCCAUACGCUCAACGUAUGGGCUGCCGGGAAUACUGCAAAGCUAGGGAGUGGGAGAGGUAGACGGUACUCGGUAGGAAGGGGUAAAAUCCUUUGAUCUAUUGAUGACCACCUGUGGCGAAGGCGGCCUACCAGAACACGUCCGACGGUGAGGGAUGAAAGCUGGGGGAGCAAACCGGAUUAGAUACCCGGGUAGUCCCAGCUGUAAACUAUGCAAACUCGGUGAUGCAUUGGCUUGAUGCCAAUGCAGUGCCGCAGGGAAGCCGUUAAGUUUGCCGCCUGGGAAGUACGUACGCAAGUAUGAAACUUAAAGGAAUUGGCGGGGGAGCACCACAAGGGGUGAAGCCUGCGGUUCAAUUGGAGUCAACGCCAGAAAUCUUACCCGGAGAGACGGCAGAAUGAAGGUCAAGCUGAAGACUUUACCAGACAAGCU